rnacentral:lncRNA from 1 species
UGUCAGCCUGUGCCUGAGUGCGGAAUUGUCAUGUGGCAGCGGGAAAUCUUGCAGGUAGAGUGCAAGUUCAUUGGCAAGGCAAUAUGCAAGAGAUCAAGGGCUGGCACUGCAGAAGGAGACGGAAGUUCAUAUGCUCAAUGGAUGACAAAGUAAGGCUGCAGUAUGAGAGUGCGAAGAGUUUUUUUCCAGACCAGCUUCAUUCAGGUGUCCUACAUUAGUCAAGACUGUGAAGAAAUUCCAGAAUUUCUGGGAAGAAAAUACGGACAUAUGGCAAAAAGACUAGAUCUUAGCUUCAACUUGUUAAGGUGUCUUCUCUCACUUGAUAUCAUGGUACCUGCCAACUGUCUGUUUCUACAGCACCUAAAUGUACCUUCGGCUUCUCUUUAAAUAAAUAGGACAGUUAACUGCUUUCAAUACAUCAUUGUGGGACUUCUUCUCAAAUAUGCAAGCUUAUUGCAAAUCCUUUGUAUGUGGUACAUCUGCUAUCCACUUGAUAUGUCAGAAGAGUUCAUGUUGAGGAAAAGUAUAUGCAUACGUGAAGAGUGGAGAGGGAUGAAAAUUAGUAUGUUGCUGUUCUCUCCUUGUUACAGCUGAUAGGUCUAAUACAAAAAAAGAAGUGCAUGCUACAGUCAUGAACUCUAAAAUAACAAGGCUCGGGAGUUUUUAUGUUGCAUAAGCAGACAAGUGAAAUGUAUUUUAUGUUCCUGUGGAGCAGAAAAGUAAAUACUGUGAUAUUUAUUAUAGCUUCUCUAUUGAUAAGUCCUAUCAGUAAUAAAAGUCUCAAAGUUAAUUAAACUUAAGCUUUA